GGAAAGAGGAAACAGUCUUCAACCUCAUCAAAUAAACAAACCAAGAAACGAAAAUCAAGAAAAUCCAGUUCCUCAGACUUCGAUAUCACUGACAAUCAACCUCAAGGGUCAGGUCAAAUAAGUCAAAGGAAAACAAGACAGAGACAAAUUAAAUUUUUGGGCCGAAGCAUUAAACAUGAAUGGAUAAUUGAUGAAACUUCACAACAAUAAGAAUGGUAUAAAGGGACUGUAUUAUCUUUGAUAUCUGGAACUGAUGGAAGAUUAACUGCCAUUUACGAAGUGUUGUAUGAGGGAGAGGAUGAACCAUUUGAAAUUGACCAUUUAAUACAGGAUUAUCAAUCUGGAUCAGUGCAGUUCAUUGAUGUGUAACAGUUUUAUAAGAAAAAAGGAUUUUUGUGACUUAGGACAUUACUGGAUUUUUUAUAAGAUGGACUUACUUGUAUACAGAAUUUUUGACUUAUGAACAUAUAUUGUUGUUUAUAAUUGUUUAAUUUGAAUAGUGCUCAUCACAAGGAAGAUUUUGAUAUAUAAUAUGGUAUGUUUUAUCCAGUAUAUAGUCUGAUAUUAAAGUUUAAAGUUGAACAUGAUUUUGACUUUAGCGGAACCUUAA